rnacentral:rRNA from 1 species
CGUGAGCGGCGGACGGGUGAGUAACGCGUGGGUAACCUGCCUCAUACAGGGGGAUAACAGUUGGAAACGGCUGCUAAUACCGCAUAAGCGCACAGUACCGCAUGGUACGGUGUGAAAAACUCCGGUGGUAUGAGAUGGACCCGCGUCUGAUUAGGUAGUUGGUGGGGUAACGGCCUACCAAGCCGACGAUCAGUAGCCGACCUGAGAAGGUGACCGGCCACAUUGGGACUGAGACACGGCCCAA